GCAGUCGACGCUUUGUGGUUCACUGAUUUGAAGAGCUUGCUCAGAUAUGACGAUGGACAUUGCAAAGAGUGGCGAACGGGUGAGUAACACGUGGGAAACCUACCUCUUAGCAGGGGAUAACAUUUGGAAACAGAUGCUAAUACCGUAUAACAAUAGCAACCGCAUGGUUGCUACUUAAAAGAUGGUUCUGCUAUCACUAAGAGAUGGUCCCGCGGUGCAUUAGUUAGUUGGUGAGGUAAUGGCUCACCAAGACGAUGAUGCAUAGCCGAGUUGAGAGACUGAUCGGCCACAAUGGGACUGAGACACGGCCCAUACUCCUACGGGAGGCAGCAGUAGGGAAUCUUCCACAAUGGGCGAAAGCCUGAUGGAGCAACGCCGCGUGUGUGAUGAAGGGUUUCGGCUCGUAAAACACUGUUGUAAGAGAAGAAUGACAUUGAGAGUAACUGUUCAAUGUGUGACGGUAUCUUACCAGAAAGGAACGGCUAAAUACGUGCCAGCAGCCGCGGUAAUACGUAUGUUCCAAGCGUUAUCCGGAUUUAUUGGGCGUAAAGCGAGCGCAGACGGUUAUUUAAGUCUGAAGUGAAAGCCCUCAGCUCAACUGAGGAAUUGCUUUGGAAACUGGAUGACUUGAGUGCAGUAGAGGAAAGUGGAACUCCAUGUGUAGCGGUGAAAUGCGUAGAUAUAUGGAAGAACAUCAGUGGCGAAGCGGCUUUCUGGACUGUAACUGACGUUGAGGCUCGAAAGUGUGGGUAGCAAA
rnacentral:rRNA from 1 species